GAUGAACGCUGGCGGCGUGCCUAGCACAUGCAAGUCGAGCGGAGAUAUUCGAACGUAUUCGUACGGGAGAGUAUUUUAGCGGCGGACGGGUGAGUAACACGUGAGUAACCUGCCUUUUGCAGGGGAAUAACAUUGGGAAACCAGUGCUAAUACCGCAUAACAUCGCCGGAUGGCAUCAUCUGGCGAUCAAAGGAGAAAUCCGGCAGAAGAUGGACUCGCGUCCGAUUAGCUAGUUGGCAGGGUAAAGGCCUACCAAGGCAACGAUCGGUAGCCGAACUGAGAGGUUGAUCGGCCACAUUGGGACUGAGACACGGCCCAGACUCCUACGGGAGGCAGCAGUGGGGAAUAUUGGGCAAGUGGGGGAAACCCUGACCCAGCAACGCCGCGUGAAGGACGAAGGCCUUCGGGUUGUAAACUUCUUUCAGCGGGGACGAAGCGAAAGUGACGGUACCCGCAGAAGAAGCACCGGCUAACUACGUG
rnacentral:rRNA from 1 species